rnacentral:rRNA from 1 species
GUGUCAGCCGCCGCGGUAACACGUAGGGCGCAAGCGUUGUCCGGAAUUAUUGGGCGUAAAGAGCUCGUAGGCGGCCUGUCGCGUCUGCUGUGAAAUCCCGGGGCUUAACCCCGGGCGUGCAGUGGAUACGGGCAGGCUGGAGGCAGGCAGGGGAGAACGGAAUUCCCGGUGUAGCGGUGAAAUGCGCAGAUAUCGGGAGGAACACCGGUGGCGAAGGCGGUUCUCUGGGCCUGUACUGACGCUGAGGAGCGAAAGCGUGGGGAGCGAACAGGAUUAGAUACCCUGGUAGUCCACGCCGUAAACGUUGGGCGCUAGGUGUGGGUCCCUUCCACGGGGUCUGUGCCGCAGCUAACGCAUUAAGCGCCCCGCCUGGGGAGUACGGCCGCAAGGCUAAA